rnacentral:rRNA from 1 species
AAGCGUGGGGAGCAAACAGGAUUAGAUACCCUGGUAGUCCACGCUGUAAACGAUGUCGAUUUGGAGUUUGUUGCCUAGAGUGAUGGGCUCCGAAGCUAACGCGAUAAAUCGACCGCCUGGGGAGUACGGCCGCAAGGUUAAAACUCAAAUGAAUUGACGGGGGCCCGCACAAGCGGUGGAGCAUGUGGUUUAAUUCGAUGCAACGCGAAGAACCUUACCUGGUCUUGACAUCCAUAGAAUUCUGCAGAGAUGUGGGAGUGCCUUCGGGAACUAUGAGACAGGUGCUGCAUGGCUGUCGUCAGCUCGUGUUGUGAAAUGUUGGGUUAAGUCCCGCAACGAGCGCAACCCUUAUUCUUUGUUGCCAGCGAUUUGGUCGGGAACUCAAAGGAGACUGCCGUUGAUAAAGCGGAGGAAGGUGGGGACGACGUCAAGUCAUCAUGGCCCUUACGACCAGGGCUACACACGUGCUACAAUGGCGUAUACAAAGGGAAGCGAAGGUGCGAGCUGGAGCGGAUCUCAUAAAGUACGUCUAAGUUCGGAUUGGAGUCUGCAACUCGACUCCAUGAAGUCGGAAUCGCUAGUAAUCGUAGAUCAGAAUGCUACGGUGAAUACGUUCCCGGGCCUUGUACACACCGCCCGUCACACCAUGGGAGUGGGUUGCACCAGAAGUAGAUAGCUUAACCGCGAGGGGGGCGUUUACCACGGUGUGAUUCAUGACUGGGGUGAAGUCGUAACAAGGUAACCA